rnacentral:lncRNA from 1 species
UUUAAUGGCUACCAUUUUAUUUGUGACCACAUAAUAAUAUACGAGAAUAUUUGUUUUUAAAUAUUUAAAAUUUUUAAAAACAAAUAUUCUCUCUUUUUUUUUAACAGUAUAGCGCCAUUUUAAUGUUCUAAAACAAGAAAUACAAAACAUAUCCUUUAGAGAUACAUAAAUGUGCAGAAAUCAGUUUUUCAAGCAAGGGGAAGAUAUACAAAAUUCAGGUUGGCAGUGACCUCUCAGAAAAGAGGAUAAUGGCAGGAAAUAUUCAGAGAGACACAAAGAUAUUGGCAGUGCUCCACACUGAAAUAAGACAGACUAUUCAAGACUGUGUGUUUUAUUAUUGAGCUCACUAUAUUAGUUCUAUUUCAUAUAUUUUGCAUUUAUCAAAUAUUACAUAUAUCUACUUUAGUUAAUGAAUGUUUAAACACAGGAUAUUUUAAUUAUGUCUCAUUGUAUUUUUGGUCCCCCACUCUAUUUGGUCUAUCAAAUCUUGUUUGGGGCAAAGAGACAAAAUGCAAGUAAAAGUUCUUUUAAAUUAUAACGUUAUGGCUUUUAAUUGAUUUGACCAAUCAAGUAUAUAUAUAUAUAUUUUUUUUAAUUUUUUCCUCUUUAUUAAGGUAUAACUGUUGCUGAAAUUUGGCCUGUGUCAGCUGGUGCUGAAUUGAAAUGCAAGGACAGUUUUGGGUAAAGGAGAAAAAGAUAGCUUUAUUGCUUUGACAGGCAAAGGGGGGCACAGCAGGAUAAUGCCUUAAAGACUGUGUCCCCCUUGGAAGUGGUUAGGAGGUAGUUUUGUAGUUUGGGGAGUAGAAAAUGGAUCUGGGCCAUAGAAAAGGAUCUGGGAAAAGGCAAGCUUGCAUUGUUUCCCAAAACUGGUGUUUAGUGACCCCAGGACUGGUUCUAGUGGUCCUCCUUCUUUCUGUAAUGAAGAAUACUUCAUUAAGUAGUUCUUCCAUUUGUUGGGGGUUUUAGUUCUAGGGAAAGGCUCAAAGACAUUGUUAUGUAUAUUCCUUGAGGCGAACCAGGACCAGUGCUCCUCCCUGGUCUCUGCAUCCCUCCUUUCCCUGAUUAGCAACUGCCCUUUGGAACUCAGGGAGGGUCACAGAGGAUGAGGCUUAUUCCCUAAAAAACAAGAACUGGAGGACACAGAAAGGCUUAUGUACCUAGGCGCCCCACAGGACACUAGCUUGGUUACAUAACUGAUGAAAAUUGUAUAUAUUUAAGAUGUACCACUUGUGUUUUAUAUACAUACACAUUUUGAAAUAGUCACCACAAUCAAGCUAAUUAACAUUCCUAUCACUACAUCUGCAAUGUAUUUCACAGGUGCCUGAAACAGUUAUACAUCAUUUAUGAAGUAAUUUUUCCAUAUUUAAAAUUUUCACAGAGACCAAGAAUAUUUUACUAUGCUGUAUUAUAAGAAAAAAAAUAGGCCCUUUUACCCCCACUCUUGAGAAAUGGCACAGAAUCCAUCAAUUCUGACGUUCAGAUUUUUGCUUCCUAAGAAAACAUAAAAAUGAUUAAAGGACAUGUAAUCUAGCCAUUGAAAAGAAAAAAAAAUGUUAAAAUUCCUCAUGAGGGGACUGUUCUAUGUUGAGGAGACAGAGAAAAAAAACCCAACAAUUAAAUGCAAUGUGUUCAUAUCUAAUGGCUGUAUUUGCUUGAUAAUGGGACAGGUUCCAAACUAUUAACUAAUGAAUUCAGUGAAAAUACUAAUGAGUUAUUUUUAAUUUGGAAAUUUUAAAUUGCCAUUCUAUAAAUUGAUGAAAUUCUUCAUUUUCCAUUCAGAUGUCAUUAUAUAGAAAUUCCAACAUUAAUUGUGAACUGUAGGUAGGACAAUGAAUUAUUUAUUUCCAAGGAAAUUAUUGAAUAUAACAUUCCCUCUUUGCCUAAAAAAAUAAUUUUAAGCCCUCAUUAGAAAAUGUUUCUUUGUCUGCUUUUUUUUAAGGACUCAUCCGUGGCAUGUGGAAGUUCCCAGGUUAGGGGUCAAAUUGAAGCUACAGUUGCCAGCCUACACCACAGCCACAGCAAUGCAGGAUCUGAGUCUGUGACCUACGCCACAGCUCAGAGCAACACUGGAUCCUUAAGCCACCGAGUGAGGCCAGUGAUUAAACCUGCAUCUUCAUGGAUAUUAGUCAUAUUCAUUUCUGCUGUGCCACAACAGGAACUCUCUAGGGAAUAUAUUUUGAUACCAUGUAUUAGGUUUAAAUAAUUUCUUAUAAUACUAGUAUUUUCUUCACAUAUGUUAAAUCUUCUGAUAAACCAAUUAUUAUCACUAAUCCUAAAAAAUUAAUAUUUGUCAUGAAGUAUAAUGGCAACUUUAUUAAUUUAAACUUACGUCAGUUUUGAUCAAAGUGAAUCAAAUAAAUUGCACUUUCUAAUGAUUGACUAAUAUUAGUGGUGCCCUUGAUAAUAUUUUAAAAUAUAUUUUGAAUAUUAGAUCAGUAGUUCUAAAUAAUGAAGAUUUUAUUUAUUAUUAAAAAUAAAUGAGUUCUUUCAGGGAUAUUGAACCUUUAUCAACAUUCUCUCUGAGGGUAUUGAAUUAAAAUUAAAACUCAUAGGAAACAACUAUAUUCAAGUUGGGGAAACUUUGAAAAACUUGCUGCUAAUCUCCAAUUGUGUGAUUUGGAAUUUUGAUCCCACCUGAAAAUAAAUGCCAAUGAGUAAAUAUGAGCUAUCUAGUUUACAAUUUAUCCAAGAGAGAAAACUGUUGUUAGGGUGGAUGGAACAUUUAUUCUCAUCUUUCCAAGGGAUAAAAUUUAUGAUUUUAUACAAAUGAUGAAGAAAUAUAUGACUUUUAACUAAAAUACAAUAUUUUCAUUCACAUUUAUAUUUUUAUUUUUAACUCCAUAUUUAAAUUUGAUUUCUUAAAAUUUUCUAGAUUCUCUACUCUUUCUUUUAAGAGAAACCAAUGAAGAAGGUAAGCAUAAGAAUACUUCUUGAGAGUGAUAUCUUGUUUUUUUUUAAACUGUGGACAGAGUGGGAUUUAAAGGUAAAGUGUUGUAAGUAGUGAGAACUAUGAUUUUAUGAAAUGGUUUUUAGGGAUAUAUAUAAUUAGGUAUUUCCAGUGAUGCUAUAUAUAUAAAGACAAUCUGCUGUCAGAGACCAUCCGAAUUAUACUGCAAGCAAAUGCGAGUGGGUGUGUCUCUGAAAUGUGUUUUACAAAGAAUCUGAAAUUUGACCAUAUGGAUGUGAGGGAAUACAUAACUUUUUAAAAAACAGUUGUAGUUACUCUUUUCCUUUUUUUUUUUUUUUUUUUUUUUUUUUUUUUUUUUUUUUUUUUUGCCAUGCCCAUGGCAUGCAGAAAUUCCUGGGCCAGGAAUUGAAUCUGCACCAGUGCAGUGACCCAAAUAACCAGCUGUGGCAAUGCCAGAUCCUUAAACCACUGAACUACAAGAGAACUCCCAUUGUAGAUAUUCUUGGAACAUGCCUAUCUUGCUCAUUAGAACUCAUUUACCUAUACAGUUUGUUUAGUGACGGAUUAUAGUUUUUCUAAAGUUGGCCACAUCAAUGGAUCUUGGAGCACUCUUUUUUGUUUUUUUUUUCUGUUUAUCAUUUUUUAGCUUGGGUAGUGUUGUUUUGGUAUUUUUCCUCUGUGCUCACUGUUCCUUUAUUCUUAAAUCCAUUUAGUCUCUCAGGGACAAAGGCCAUAUCUUUUUUUCUCUUUAUUCCUUUCUUGUCUAAAAUAGUGAAUACUCAAUACAUGCUUUAUGAAUAAAUGGAAAAAAAAUCAUCUUAAAACUUUACUAGAGAUGUCAUCUAUGGAAAAUAGAUACAAGAUUAGGUGAGUGAAGAAAUUGCUUUGCUUAUAUAAAUAUCCAUUUUUAAAAAUUAUUUAGAAACAAAAUACCUAAUUGAUAUAAAGUGAUUCCGAGUCCACUAUAGGUAGAAGAGUAUCAUGGCAAAAUAACUUCCAUGUAUUUUAUAGUCAAAUUGAAUAGAAAAGUGUAUGACUGUGCAUGGAUGCAAUCUCAGGUUUAUGAAACAGUGUUCAAAUCAGCUUAUCUUUACAUGACAACAAAUAACUUAGAUCCAAAACAAUGUGGGAAAAAGAAUAAUACUUAAUAUUAAACAGACUGUGGUCACGCUAGAGGGGCAUAAGAUAUUAUUAUUGCUUGAAUAAAUCCAAAGCCAAACGCUUAUGAAUAGAUAGAGAAGAAAUUUAGAAAUCAUUUGGCACCUUUUUUACUUGUUCAAUAUCAUAUGACUCAUUUGUGAUAGAUCUAUGACUGAUAUUCUAGACCUCUUAUCUGUUCACCAUGUUACUCAAUAGAUAAUUUUUGAUGGAGCUAUACUCUUAAAUUUGUUAAUAGAACAAAUACAUAUUAUUGCACAUAUUAAAAAGAAAUGCCUGUGUGUGUGUGUAGUGAUAUCACUGUAUUAUAAAUAAAAGAGUUUGUAUAAGUUCUUUUACUAGAAUGGUCAUGUAUUUUGCUUUUCCAUUCAUGUUUUCUUGCUUGGUAGUCAAUGCAACCAAGGGCCAGCUUACAAAAGAGAUGGUCAGAAUUAGGAGUAUGGUCCCAAUCAGUUCACAUCAUGGGCCAUUCAUCUUGCCCACAGGAUGAAGUAACUGAUAAUGUUGAAGUCAUUAGCAUCAGAUUGUUACCAGGUAAAUUUACCAGGUUUAGAAAUGCCAGAUAAGGAAAGCUCUACUGGAUUUACAUUCUUGCCUUUCAAAUAGUUUUGUAGCUGUGACUCUUAGAUACAACUCAAGUGGGAACAAAGUAAGGGGGAUGGGAAAUUUACAGAGCUUUGCAGCGUAACCUGAGUACAUACAUUAAAAUUUUGAAAAGGACAAGUUAUUCAAAUGUGUAGCAUCUAUCAGAAUUAGAGGGAAAUAUGCAUAAUGAAAGGCAGAAUUUGUUCCUAAUUGUACAAAUUAUAUAGAAGCCUUGUGAACAAUUUUGCAUAAUUUAAAAAUUUGAUGAGGAAAAUACCCAUUAGAAUACCUCAUCAAUUUACCUAAUGGCAUGGGAUUAUUACCUAAGGCAUAUUUUUUGAGUGUUUUAGUAAGUUUAAUUUUACAUCAAUCAAAUGACUGUUUUUUAAGUGCUUUCUGUGUAUGGUAGUGUUAAAACCACAUAGAAGGACGUUCCCUUCGUGGCUCAGUGGUUAAUGAAUCCGACUAGGAACCAUGAGGCUGCAGAUUCGAUCCCUGCCCUUGCUCAGUGGGUUAAGGAUCCGGCAUUGCCGUGAGCUGUGGUGUAGGUUGCAGACAUGGCUCGGAUCCCGCGUUGCUGUGGCUCUGGUGUAGGCCAGCAGCUACAGCUCUGAUUAGACCCCUAGCCUGGGAACCUCCAUAUGCUGUGGAAGCGGCCCAAGAAAUG